AGUGAACGCUGGCGGUAGGCCUAACACAUGCAAGUCGAACGGCAGCACAGUAAGAGCUUGCUCUUACGGGUGGCGAGUGGCGGACGGGUGAGGAAUACAUCGGAAUCUACUUUUUCGUGGGGGAUAACGUAGGGAAACUUACGCUAAUACCGCAUACGACCUACGGGUGAAAGCAGGGGAUCCUCGGACCUUGCGCGAUUGAAUGAGCCGAUGUCGGAUUAGCUAGUUGGCGGGGUAAAGGCCCACCAAGGCGACGAUCCGUAGCUGGUCUGAGAGGAUGAUCAGCCACACUGGAACUGAGACACGGUCCAGACUCCUACGGGAGGCAGCAGUGGGGAAUAUUGGACAAUGGGCGCAAGCCUGAUCCAGCCAUACCGCGUGGGUGAAGAAGGCCUUCGGGUUGUAAAGCCCUUUUGUUGGGAAAGAAAAGCAGCAGGUUAAUACCCCGCUGUUCUGACGGUACCCAAAGAAUAAGCACCGGCUAACUACGUG
rnacentral:rRNA from 1 species